GUUCUUUUUUAUCCUUCCCAUCCCAAGCAUUCAACAACUUCUCAAUUUUAUAAGCUCUCAUUCAACAACAUCAUUUUGAAGGUUCUAGAUCUAACUCGGGGAAAUCAGAGGUUGGUGGCAAGCAAUGAUCGCAGUGUGGUUUACAUCAAUGAUAGUUAGUACGUAGUGGUAUCUAUAUAAUGUGUAGAUAACAAAUUUAUAUCUACAAUCUAGGUCAUAUUGGAAAAAAGACAAAUAAAAUGCAUUCUUGUAGCAAUGUAAUCCCUAAGUUGAUGAAAUUUCAAUAAUUCCCCCUCUCCCCUCUUAAAAUUAAAAGUAUGGUUGUAAAUUGGCUUCUAUAAGUUGCAAUAGUGCGCAUUGGGAAAAAAAUAAUCCUAAAUUAAGUUUUUAUUUAAUCCA